UACGAAGGGGGCUAGCGUUGUUCGGAAUUACUGGGCGUAAAGGGCGCGCAGGCGGCUCUUCAAGUCAGAUGUGAAAGCCCCCGGGCUCAACCUGGGAACUGCAUUUGAGACUGGAGAGCUUGAGUUCGGGAGAGGAGAGCGGAAUUCCCAGUGUAGAGGUGAAAUUCGUAGAUAAUUGGGAAGAACACCAGUGGCGGAAAGGCGACUCACUGGCCCGAUACUGACGCUGACGGC
rnacentral:rRNA from 1 species